GGGAGGACUAUGAUGUGUUUUACAGCUUUGGGAUUUCUUCUUAACCUAUCUAGAGGCUGAAACCCAAGCAGAUGGUAAUGAAAAUACAAAACAAGCCUUUGGAGGACAAAUCAUUGUUUCACCCGAGGCUCUCUGCCUUUACCCUGAGGUUGGAAUAAGCUUCCUGGUUUCUUCUUUGCCUAUAACCAACAAAAGACAAGCAGUAUCUUAAAAUCUAACUGGGAGACUGUUCCAUAGGCUGCUUCUGGGCCCCCACCUCAAUUGACUCCUCUUACUAGUCCAUCAUCUUCACAUGGAAUGAUAUGUAACUGAUAAAUUAUGAAAAAAAAGGAACCUGAUGGUUUUAUGAAAUGUGAGAUGGCCUCAAGGCAACCCGAGAGACUCAGUCUAAUUCUAGCAGAGACUUGCACUCUGUCUGGCCUGCUUUGUGCAAGUUAUAUUGAUAUAAUAAGACUCCGGAGAAUUUGCUUGACUUCUAAUAUUAUUCACCAGGGUUGCCUGACGUGGAAAACUAUUGAUCCUCCAGGACUGAUAGCAUUUCUUCCAGAGGACGUGGUAACCUGGCGUUGUGAGGGUGAAAGGAGAUCUCACAGAAAAGCAAAGCCUUUGUACAAAUGCAAGGGUAAAAACUGUUUCUGUGUUUGUAUCCUCAGCAUUCAGAAUAGUUCAGUGCACAUAAUGGAUUCUUGUUAAAUGUUUGCUGAAUUACUAUUACAUUGGACCUACACUUUAAUCCACCUCCUAAAGAGAAGUGAUGGACUUCGGAUACAAAAUGAGACAUGCAUUUUUGGACACCACCAAGGAGGGAAUUUCAGGAGAAAGAAAUGGCAAAGCACUGCUGUAUCUUUGCCAAGAAACUCCAAAUGGGUUCCCAAAGAGUCAGGCUUGACAAAACAACUGAACAACAACAAGGAGGAAAUUUACUUUGCUUGACUAGACAUAUUUGUUGUAAGGGUUUUUCUUUUUUCUUCCUCCCUCCCUCCCUCCUUUACUUCUUCCCUCCCUCCCUUCCUUUCUUCCUUCUUUCUUUACUGCUUCCCUCUCUGUUGCUGUCUUCUUUUUUUCUCUUUCUCUUUCUUUUCCUUCUUUCCCUUUUAAUUGUGGGAAAGAAUAAAUACCUGU
rnacentral:lncRNA from 1 species